CUGUCCCCAGACGCCAUGGAGUUGGUGCUGGUCUUCCUCUGCAGCCUGCUGGCCCCCAUGGUCCUGGCCAGUGCAGCUGAAAAGGAGAAGGAAAUGGACCCUUUUCAUUAUGCAACAGAGCCCCAGAAAGCAGAGAACUGAAGUGCAGCCAUCAGGUGGAAGGUGAGAUGCUCAGUGCCUGGAUUGGCCCCUGUUGCCAUCACCGUCUGCAUCAGGGCCUGGACAGGGGUUCAGGCGGGAAGGAUGGGGCUAGCUUUUGCAGUGGGCACAGCUUUUAUUAUGGGCCCUGCCCUGAGGAGCCUUCAGGAGUCUGAAAGGGGCUGUGAGAGAGACCAGGACUAGAAACACCCGAAGUGUCCCACACACAUGCAUGCCAACACCAGGAAAUGGGGCUUCCACACAGCCCACUGGCCGAGUGCAUAGGGCGUCAUCCCAAGUGCAACAUGGGAGAAUUAGAGUUAGUGAAAUGCUCCUAAUCUCAAAGUAGCAUAAAGAUAAUGGCUUUCCGUGGUGACUCAGAAAGUACUUUAGGGCCACUUGUUUUUUUAAACACCUUAUUAUGAAACUUCCCAACCCUAACCAAAAGUAGAGCAAAUAGUAUAUGAUCCUUCCCUCUCCACAUUUAAGGGCACUGAUUUUAGUAUCUAUUUCCAUUGUUCAUCGUAGGGGGCACAGGAGAGUAGUAACUGGCAAAUGCUGUACAGUUUUCAGAGUGCCACCACACACACAGACUCACUCGAGUCUGCCAGAAAAAGAGGAUGGGACAGGUGGGGUUUAGCCCAUUUUAUAGGUGAAACCAAGAUGAGAGGGAAUAGCCCCGUGGAGAGUGACAGCCCGGACUGUGAACUCAGGCCUUUGCGGCUGUGGUUCAGCGCCACUGCUCCCCUCUGUCCUGUGCGUCUCGCUUUAUGACAUGCCCUGGAAUAUCCUAAGGGAAAAGGUUUGUGUUUUGUCAGCUCACUUCUGCCUUUUUUUCCCCCCAUACAAGUAAGGCAUUAUAGAAAGGUAUAUAAGUUUAUCUCACAUUGUAAGGUAAAAGAGGUUUCUGGAUGAUGAAGUGCCCGAUGCACCAGCUUUGACUGUGCGUAACAAUAUCGUGUGCCUGUGUAGCAUUUAAAUUCUUUCCUAAGUGCUUUUGCAUCCUCAUAGCGGCCCGUGAUGGGCAGAGCAGGGCUCAUUACUCCCGUCUUCUGGAUGGGGCUCUCGAAGGCAAGUGAUCACCUAAGUGCGAAUGGACGAAGAUUCCGAUCUAGGAGGCAGGUGCCCUUCCUGGUAGCUUGGUGUUCUGUCUAUUUCAUCACAGACUGAGAAUCUGGGAAGGCUCAGAGGAGGCAGCCUGGAAAUGAAAUGUCUUUUCAUUUUUUUUUUCCCAAACUAGUUCUUUCUCAGAAACCUUUUAUCCUAAGGCUCAGGACUGUGAGCAACCACUGGGGAGGUCCUGGGUUUAACAAUUUCCUUUCCAUGUCUGCCAGGCUCCAGCCCACCUGGGAGAGGCUUCUUCUGAGGUUCACCCCUCCCCUGUGUCUUUGUCUCCUUUCUCUGCGUCUCAGACGAGGCUGUCAUACCGGGAAUUUCAGUGGGCAGGUGCUCAAGGAAGGGAGAGAAGCAGAUAAGGAUACCAGAGGCAGCCGAAGUGUUUUUAAUUUAAAUUAUCCUCCUCCUCAGCCUCUGGAACCUGAGGCGGCUGCUUGAACCUUUGGAUGCAAAUGUCGAUGCUUAAGAAAACCGGCCACUUCAGCAACAGCCCUUUCCCCAGGAGAAGCCAAGAACUUGUGUGUCCCCCACCCUAUCCCCUCUAACACCAUUCCUCCACCUGAUGAUGCAACUAACACUUGCCUCCCCACUGCAGCCUGCGGUCCUGCCCACCUCCCGUGAUGUGUGUGUGUGUGUGUGUGUGUGUGACUGUGUGUGUUUGCUAACUGUGGUCUUUGUGGCUACUUGUUUGUGGAUGGUAUUGUGUUUGUUAGUGAACUGUGGACUCGCUUUCCCAGGCAGGGGCUGAGCCACAUGGCCAUCUGCUCCUCCCUGCCCCCGUGGCCCUCCAUCACCUUCUGCUCCUAGGAGGCUGCUUGUUGCCCGAGACCAGCCCCCUCCCCUGAUUUAGGGAUGCGUAGGGUAAGAGCACGGGCAGUGGUCUUCAGUCGUCUUGGGACCUGGGAAGGUUUGCAGCACUUUGUCAUCAUUCUUCAUGGACUCCUUUCACUCCUUUAACAAAAACCUUGCUUCCUUAUCCCACCUGAUCCCAGUCUGAAGGUCUCUUAGCAACUGGAGAUACAAAGCAAGGAGCUGGUGAGCCCAGCGUUGACGUCAGGCAGGCUAUGCCCUUCCGUGGUUAAUUUCUUCCCAGGGGCUUCCACGAGGAGUCCCCAUCUGCCCCGCCCCUUCACAGAGCGCCCGGGGAUUCCAGGCCCAGGGCUUCUACUCUGCCCCUGGGGAAUGUGUCCCCUGCAUAUCUUCUCAGCAAUAACUCCAUGGGCUCUGGGACCCUACCCCUUCCAACCUUCCCUGCUUCUGAGACUUCAAUCUACAGCCCAGCUCAUCCAGAUGCAGACUACAGUCCCUGCAAUUGGGUCUCUGGCAGGCAAUAGUUGAAGGACUCCUGUUCCGUUGGGGCCAGCACACCGGGAUGGAUGGAGGGAGAGCAGAGGCCUUUGCUUCUCUGCCUACGUCCCCUUAGAUGGGCAGCAGAGGCAACUCCCGCAUCCUUUGCUCUGCCUGUCAGUGGUCAGAGCGGUGAGCGAGGUGGGUUGGAGACUCAGCAGGCUCCGUGCAGCCCUUGGGAACAGUGAGAGGUUGAAGGUCAUAACGAGAGUGGGAACUCAACCCAGAUCCCGCCCCUCCUGUCCUCUGUGUUCCCGCGGAAACCAACCAAACCGUGCGCUGUGACCCAUUGCUGUUCUCUGUAUCGUGAUCUAUCCUCAACAACAACAGAAAAAAGGAAUAAAAUAUCCUUUGUUUCCUAGUG
rnacentral:lncRNA from 1 species